rnacentral:misc_RNA from 1 species
GAUGAAGAACGUAGCGAAAUGCGAUACUUGGUGUGAAUUGCAGAAUCCCGUGAACCAUCGAGUCUUUGAACGCAAGUUGCGCCUCAAGCCAUUAGGUUGAGGGCACGUCUGCCUGGGCGUCACAUAUCGUUGCCUGAUGCCAGUUUCCUCGUGAUGGGUGACUGUGCAGGGCGAAUGAUGGCUUCCCGUGAGCAUUGUUGCCUCAUGGUUGGUUGAAAAUUGAGUCCUUGGUAGGGAGCGCCGUGAUAGAUGGUGGUUGAGUGACGAACGAGACCCAAUCAUGUGAGACCCCUACCGAAUUUGGCCUUCAUGACCCACAUGCGUCUUUGGAACGCUCAUGACGAGACCUCAGGUCAGGCGGGGCUACCCGCUGAGUUUAAGCAUAUCAAUAAGCGGAGA